rnacentral:lncRNA from 1 species
GAAACCUAAUUUCAUGAGAUAGCUCUUUAAAAUAAAGAGCAUCUAACUCUUAAAGAAUCUUGAGGAUGAUCCAUCUAUACAAAACAUGAACUCAGAUCUGCCAACAUUAUCCAAUCCAUAAAACAUGAAUUCAGAUGUGCCUACAUACUCCACUCUACACCUCUCAUCAAAACAAUGAACAAUUUAUAGAAAAUGCAUCGCUAAAAUUUAAUAUUCACACUGACCUCUAUCGUAUGGAUGUGUGCAAAAUCAAAGUACAAGAAGAGAGAAAAUUUUGAGCACAGAAAAGCAACAAUUAUAUGAAAAGGGAUAAGUUUACAACACUGCAACUCUUUCCCGGAUGAGCUAUAGAAGGUUCACUGAGUUCAACUUCAGUUUUCUUUUAUGUUUUCUUCAAAAUCAAAUGUAUUUGAAGAAAUAGUUAUAGCAUAUGCAUAACAAUUUCUGGAUUUGGAACAAUCAGAAUACGGUCCAACCAUAAUUCAGUUUAAAUUAAGUACCUUCCCACAUGUAAGUUUUGUGGCUUAAAUGAAAGGUAAAGAAAAAACUAUUGUGGUUUUGCCCCAUUAAUAGUUGGAGCAGCACCUCUAGCUGCCUUGACAUAGGCAACAUACUCACUGAAGUGCAUGGUAAAUAAAAAGCAACAAUUAUAUGAAAAGGAAUAAGUUUACAACACUGCAACUCUUUCCCAGAUGAGUUGUAGAAGGUUCACUGAGUUCAACUUCAGUUUUCUUUUAUGUUUUCUUCAAAAUCGAAUGAAUUUGAAGAAAUAGUUAUAGCAUAUGCAUAACAAUUUCUGGAUUUGGAACAAUCAGAAUACGGUCCAACCAUAAUUCAGUUUAAAUUAAGUACCUU